UCUGACAAGCUCUCUCAUGUAUACACUGCUAUUCUGAAGCCUGACAAUGAGCUGCGAAUUCUGAUUGAUGGGGAGGAGAAGAAAAAAGCAAAUUUCCUCGUAGCUGACGAUUUUGAGCCUGCCCUUAUUCCUCCCAAGACAAUUCCUGACCCUGAUGAUAAGAAGCCUGAGGACUGGGAUGAGAGGGCAAAAAUUCCAGAUCCUGAUGCUACAAAGCCAGAUGAUUGGGAUGAGAAUGCACCAAUGGAAAUUGAAGAUGAGGAUGCUGUGAAACCUGAAGGAUGGUUGGAUGAUGAGCCUGAGGAGAUAGAUGAUCCUGAGCACCCAAGCCAGAGGAUUGGGAUGAUGAGGAGGAUGGUGAA
rnacentral:lncRNA from 1 species